GGCGCGUUAGCAAAGCGUUAUGCACCGGAUUGCAAAUCCGUAGCUCGGUUCGACUCCGGGACGCGCCUCCA
rnacentral:tRNA from 1 species